rnacentral:rRNA from 1 species
UACGUAGGUCGCAAGCGUUGUCCGGAUUUACUGGGCGUAAAGAGCGCGCAGGCGGCUGGUCAAGUCCGAUGUGAAAUCUCCCGGCUCAACUGGGAAACUGCAUCGGAAACUGAUCGGCUUGAAGGUGGGAGAGGGUAGUGGAAUUCCCGGUGUAGUGGUGAAAUGCGUAGAUAUCGGGAGGAACACCAGUGGCGAAGGCGACUUCCUGGCCUGUUCUUGACGCUGAGGCGCGAAAGCUAGGGUAGCAAACGGG